rnacentral:rRNA from 1 species
GUGGAUUAGAUACCCUGGUAGUCCACGCCCUAAACGAUGAGUACUAAGUGUUGCCGUAAGGCAGUGCUGAAGUUAACGCAUUAAGUACUCCGCCUGAGUAGUACGUACGCAAGUAUGAAACUUAAAGGAAUUGACGGGAGCCCGCACAAGCGGUGGAGCAUGUUGUUUAAUUCGACGAUACGCGAAGAACCUUACCAGGUCUUGACAUCCUUCGCAAAGCUAUAGAGAUAUAGUGGAGGUUAGCGAAGAGACAGGUGGUGCACGGCUGUCGUCAACU